AAAUUGAAGAGUUUGAUCAUGGCUCAGAUUGAACGCUGGCGGCAGGCCUAACACAUGCAAGUCGAACGGUAACAGGAAGAAGCUUGCUUCUUUGCUGACGAGUGGCGGACGGGUGAGUAAUGUCUGGGAAACUGCCUGAUGGAGGGGGAUAACUACUGGAAACGGUAGCUAAUACCGCAUAACGUCGCAAGACCAAAGAGGGGGACCUUCGGGCCUCUUGCCAUCGGAUGUGCCCAGAUGGGAUUAGCUAGUAGGUGGGGUAACGGCUCACCUAGGCGACGAUCCCUAGCUGGUCUGAGAGGAUGACCAGCCACACUGGAACUGAGACACGGUCCAGACUCCUACGGGAGGCAGCAGUGGGGAAUAUUGCACAAUGGGCGCAAGCCUGAUGCAGCCAUGCCGCGUGUAUGAAGAAGGCCUUCGGGUUGUAAAGUACUUUCAGCGGGGAGGAAGGGAGUAAAGUUAAUACCUUUGCUCAUUGACGUUACCCGCAGAAGAAGCACCGGCUAACUCCGUGCCAGCAGCCGCGGUAAUACGGAGGGUGCAAGCGUUAAUCGGAAUUACUGGGCGUAAAGCGCACGCAGGCGGUUUGUUAAGUCAGAUGUGAAAUCCCCGGGC
rnacentral:rRNA from 1 species